rnacentral:rRNA from 1 species
CGGACGGGUGAGUAAUGUCUGGGAAACUGCCUGAUGGAGGGGGAUAACUACUGGAAACGGUAGCUAAUACCGCAUAACGUCGCAAGACCAAAGAGGGGACCUUCGGGCCUCUUGCCAUCAGAUGUGCCCAGAUGGAUUAGCUUGUUGGUGGGGUAACGGCUCACCAAGGCGACGAUCCCUAGCUGGUCUGAGAGGAUGACCAGCCACACUGGAACUGAGACACGGUCCAG